GUGGGGAAUAUUGCACAAUGGGCGAAAGCCUGAUGCAGCAACGCCGCGUGAAGGAUGAAGGCCUUUGGGUCGUAAACUUCUGUCCUUGGGGAAGAAAAAAAUGACGGUACCCCUGGAGGAAGUCCCGGCUAACUACGUGCCAGCAGCCGCGGUAAUACGUAGGGGGCGAGCGUUAUCCGGAAUUAUUGGGCGUAAAGAGUACGUAGGUGGUUUUUUAAGCGCAGGGUUUAAGGCGAUGGCUCAACUGUCGUUCGCCCUGUGAACUGGAAGACUUGAGUACAGGAGAGGAAAGCGGAAUUCCUAGUGUAGCGGUGAAAUGCAUAGAUAUUAGGAGGAACACCAGUGGCGAAGGCGGCUUUCUGGACUGUAACUGACACUGAGGUACGAAAGCGUGGGGAGCAAACAGGAUUAGAUACCCCUGUAGUCC
rnacentral:rRNA from 1 species